CUGAAGAGACAGGGCCUACUGGGAGGUCUUUCAGUCACUGGGGGCAUCCUCUUGAGAGCAGUGGGACCCUGACACUUCCUCUCUCUCUUUCACACUUAGCCAUGAGGUGCCUGCCAUGAUGCACCAUGCCUCCACAAGUUAAAAGCAGUUGGGGACAUUCAGUUAUGGGUGGAACUCUCUAAAACUGUGAGCUAGAAUAGGUCUUUCUUUUUCAUUAGCUUAUUAUCUCAGGUAUUUUGUGAUAGUAAUGGAAAGCUAACACACUGACUGUCGGGAUCCUUAAUUUCAACGAUGCUGACUACCUGCAGAGAAGUCUCAACUCUUCUCCAUGGAGUUGUGCCCAUACUUGGCCCAGGACUAGGGGAAGUCAAAGGAAGAAAUUCAGUGGAAGCCAGAGAGCUGCCGGUGUUGGGGCUUCUCAAGGACAACAAGGUGGUUAACAGAGUCUACAAAAAGUUCAGACAUGUUUCCCAUCCUCUUGAAGGACAGUAACUGUGUGACACAGUCUGACCAAAGAGAUGCUGCUGGAAGGUUUCUGGAAGAGCUUUUGAUUUCCUGGCAAAAGAAACACAUCCCCAUCCUUUCUCUUUCCUCCAUCUGCGGAUGCAGAUAUGUGAUGCCUAAAGCCACUUGGUGGUCAUGAGACUUCUCUGCUGUCCACCUGCACAUUACAAAAGACCUGUCUGCUCAGAAAUGCACGAUCAUCAUGGUGUUUCAGGCCUGCAGUCCCCUGAACCAAGCAUUCGCAAGGAAACACGAUACCUUGGUUAGUGAACCGAACUUGGUUAAAAGCAUCUUAAUACUUAGAUGACUGUGGGAGCACAGGCAGAUGGU